AUUGAACGCUGGCGGCAUGCCUUACACAUGCAAGUCGAACGGUAACGGGCCUUCGGGUGCCGACGAGUGGCGAACGGGUGAGUAAUACAUCGGAACGUGCCCGAUCGUGGGGGAUAACGAGGCGAAAGCUUUGCUAAUACCGCAUACGAUCUACGGAUGAAAGCAGGGGACCGCAAGGCCUUGCGCGGACGGAGCGGCCGAUGGGAGAUUAGGUAGUUGGUGGGAUAAAAGCUUACCAAGCCGACGAUCUGUAGCUGGUCUGAGAGGAUGAUCAGCCACACUGGGACUUAGCCACGCCCCAGACUCCUACGGGAGGCAGUAGUGGGGAAUUUUGGACAAUGGGCGCAAGCCUGAUCCAGCCAUGCCGCGUGCAGGAUGAAGGCCUUCGGGUUGUAAACUGCUUUUGUACGGAACGAAAAGCCUUCUUUUAAUACAGGAGGGUCAUGACGGUACCGUAAGAAUAAGCACCGGCUAACUACGUG
rnacentral:rRNA from 1 species